AAUGCUUGCUCUCUGACGUUAGCGGCGGACGGGUGAGUAACACGUGGAUAACCUACCUAUAAGACUGGGAUAACUUCGGGAAACCGGAGCUAAUACCGGAUAAUAUAUUGAACCGCAUGGUUCAAUAGUGAAAGACGGUUUUGCUGUCACUUAUAGAUGGAUCCGCGCCGCAUUAGCUAGUUGGUAAGGUAACGGCUUACCAAGGCAACGAUGCGUAGCCGACCUGAGAGGGUGAUCGGCCACACUGGAACUGAGACACGGUCCAGACUCCUACGGGAGGCAGCAGUAGGGAAUCUUCCGCAAUGGGCGAAAGCCUGACGGAGCAACGCCGCGUGAGUGAUGAAGGUCUUCGGAUCGUAAAACUCUGUUAUUAGGGAAGAACAAAUGUGUAAGUAACUAUGCACGUCUUGACGGUACCUAAUCAGAAAGCCACGGCUAACUACGUGCCAGCAGCCGCGGUAAUUAA
rnacentral:rRNA from 1 species